AUUGAACGCUGGCGGCAGGCCUAACACAUGCAAGUCGAGCGAGCGGCGGACGGGUGAGUAAUGUAUGGGGCUCUGCCCGAUAGAGGGGGAUAACUACUGGAAACGGUGGCUAAUACCGCAUACUAUCAGAUGAACCCAUAUGGGAUUAGCUAAUAGGUGGGGUAAAGGCUCACCUAGGCGACAAUCUCUAGCUGGUCUGAGAGGAUGACCAGCCACACUGGGACUGAGACACGGUCCAGAUUCUGACGGUAGGCAGCAGGUGGGAAUAUGGCACCAGUGGCGCAAGGCUGAUGGCGCCAUGCGGCGUGUAUGCAGAAGGCCUUAUGGUUGUAAAGUGCUUUCAGCGGGGAGGCGUUACCCGCAGAAGAAGCACCGGCUAACUCCGUGCCAGCAGCCGCGGUAAUAC
rnacentral:rRNA from 1 species